rnacentral:rRNA from 1 species
GUGGGGAAUAUUGGACAAUGGGCGAAAGCCUGAUCCAGCCAUGCCGCGUGUGUGAAGAAGGUCUUCGGAUUGUAAAGCACUUUAAGUUGGGAGGAAGGGCAGUAAGUUAAUACCUUGCUGUUUUGACGUUACCGACAGAAUAAGCACCGGCUAACUUCGUGCCAGCAGCCGCGGUAAUACGAAGGGUGCAAGCGUUAAUCGGAAUUACUGGGCGUAAAGCGCGCGUAGGUGGUUUUGUAAGUUGGAGGUGAAAUCCCCGGGCUCAACCUGGGAACUGCAUCCAAAACUGCAUGACUAGAGUACGGUAGAGGGUAGUGGAAUUUCCUGUGUAGCGGUGAAAUGCGUAGAUAUAGGAAGGAACACCAGUGGCGAAGGCGACUACCUGGACUGAUACUGACACUGAGGUGCGAAAGCGUGGGGAGCAAACAGGAUUAGAAACCCGUGUAGUCC